AAAAAAAAAAAUAAAAAAAAAAAUUAAAAAAAAAAACUCGAAUAAUUAAAGGUGAAGAAAUUAAUAACAUCAUCUUAAAAUUUGAAACUUCCAACCAAUUUAUUUCCCCUUUUAGGUACUCAUAAAUGAAGAAUAACAAUUAUUCUUUUUGCGUACUAUAUUAAAGUUUAGCAAUCAAAGUUUGUACACAGUCCACGGAUUUACUUAAGAGACACAUUAGAUCCAAUAGUUUAGGAAGGAAGAGGGUAGAAAAGUAUGAGGGCAGAACCACACAGUCCAUACAUUUACUUGUGAAUUUCCCUUUCUCAUAAUAGAGUCCUGAGGGAAAAUUUAAUUUUAAAUGUACAUUUAAUUUCACCUAAAAAAUGAAGAAAAAGCAAAAUGAUUAUGGUUGCACUUCUUUUCCAUUUGUUAAACAGAAAAUAUGAG
rnacentral:misc_RNA from 1 species